CAGUAGCCGCGGUAAUACAGAGGGUGCGAGCGUUAAUCGGAUUUACUGGGCGUAAAGCGUGCGUAGGCGGCUUUUUAAGUCGGAUGUGAAAUCCCUGAGCUUAACUUAGGAAUUGCAUUCGAUACUGGGAAGCUAGAGUAUGGGAGAGGAUGGUAGAAUUCCAGGUGUAGCGGUGAAAUGCGUAGAGAUCUGGAGGAAUACCGAUGGCGAAGGCAGCCAUCUGGCCUAAUACUGACGCUGAGGUACGAAAGCAUGGGGAGCAAACAGGAUUAGAUACCCGGGUAGUCCCUGUCUCUUAUAC
rnacentral:rRNA from 1 species